rnacentral:rRNA from 1 species
UACAGAGGUCUCGAGCGUUAAUCGGAAUUACUGGGCUUAAAGGGUGCGUAGGCGGUCCCGCAAGUACUUUGUGAAAUCCCAUGGCUUAACCAUGGAAUUGCUCGGUAGACUGCGGGACUUGAGGUCGGUAGGGGGUCGCUGGAACUCUAGGUGGAGCGGUGAAAUGCGUAGAUAUCUAGAGGAACGCCAAAGGUGAAGACAGGCGACGUGGGCCGAUUCUGACGCUGAGGCACGAAAGCGUGGGUAGCGAACGGG